rnacentral:sRNA from 1 species
UCGAACCUGCAGCAGGUUCGAGUUGAGCGCAGCGAAACAACGGAGCCGCUCGCGGCGACGGCCCGAAGGGCGAGCGAAGCGAGUCAUCCUGCACGACCCACCA